rnacentral:rRNA from 1 species
UACGGAGGAUGCAAGCGUUGUUCGGAAUCACUGGGCUUAAAGAGCGUGUAGGCGGGAUAUUUGGUGUCGUGUGAAAUCCCCGGUCUCAACCCGGGAACUGCGCGGCAUACCGGUAUUCUUGAGGCAGGCAGAGGUGACUGGAACGACGGGUGGAGCGGUGAAAUGCGUAGAUAUCCGUUGGAACGCCGGCGACGAAGGUGAGUCACUGGGCCUGUCCUGACGCUGAGACGCGAAAGCGUGGGUAGCAAACAGG